UAUGUACGCACAUUACAUGUAUGCCUCGUGUCCUCAGAGACCAGGAGAAGGCAUCAGAUUCCACGGAAUCGGACGGCUGUGAGCUGCCAUAUGGUGGUAGCAGCUGAAUUUGGAGCAGUUAGAGCUCUGACACCCCAGCCAUUUCUACAUUCCCCCUUUAUAGCUUUUACUUGAUUUACUUUAUUAAAAAUAAUAUACUCAACUAAACUGACAUCGAUACCACUCAUGAAACAUUUCAGACCCAUCCAUUUUGUUACAUUCUAUUUCCUGUGUGCAUGUGCCUUAUUGUAUAUAUACAUGCCAUAUAUAUUUUUGUGAAGCAGCCUCUCGUCUAGCCUACCUCGAGCAUGUUAUAUAGCAGAGGAUAACCUUGAACUCCUGAUCCUCCUCUUCCGUCUUCCCACUGUUGAGAUAGUAGACAUGUUCAGAUAUUGAUACAUCUGAUUAAUUUUUAAUUUCAAAUUUCUGUUUUUACUUCCUAUAGAAUUCUUAGUUUGACCUAAGAAGGAAAUACCGGGAUAAAGGAGCCAAGUUCUGAACUACUAUAAAGACCGUUCCUCUGGCUUUACAUUAGUUCGUGGGUGGGAGGCAAACAAACAAACAUCCUGAUUUUGCCAAGAAAAUGAUGGCUUUCCGUGUAUCUGACACACACAUAAACACAUGUCAGUUUUUUCCUGUUUUAGGAAUCACAGUUGAAACGCCCGGCUCCAGGGAGACGGCGCUGACUGGCGCUGACUGGCGUGCGCAUGAAACGGACUUCUGCACAGGAAGAAGCCGCGGCUGGUCCUGACCCUGCCUCGUUUUCUUUUCUGAAACAAAUGCUCUCCAGUAGAUUCCUCUUCAUUUCCUCCUCUGUAGGCGGAGGAGGAGCAAGCGCGGAUUCCUGUCUGCCCUCUGUGCAGAAGGUGAAGCAGAGGCUCCAGACUCACUGGAGACAUCCUGACACAUAAUGCCUUAUCCAGCACAAUGGGAUGCCCUUUACCUAGUCUUAUGAAGGUGCUGCCUUCCCUCCAGAACAAACAACGGAAAUGCAUCAAGAGGGCUCAGCUGCAGACAGAAUGCACCUCGAAGCAGAAGCCACUUGGGGAUUCCUCAGAUGAAAGCAGAUUUCAAUGAACAUUGUGUUUCGAAGCUUGCUUCCUCUCGCCCUGCGAGGCCCAUAGAAGGAACAUCCCACUUGUGGCUGCUGACACAAAGGAAUGCUGGGGCUGGGAGAUCUUAUCCGACCUUCCUGUACAACAGCAACAGAGCUCCGGUUGUGUCUUGCCUGGGAACAGCACGGCGCUCACUGCGGUCAUAUGCUAUACUGUACUUUGGUGCUUAACAACCUUCAUCGAGCUGUCACAGAAGGAUGAUUUCAUCGGGUCCUCGGAUAACCCUGGAUGUGGAUUGUAGAUUCAUUGAAGUCACAGAACUCCAGCUUAGAUUUGUGUCCACAACCCAAGAUCAGAAGCAUGACAAGUGACCAGUUAAUGUCCUUGCAAAAAUGGAUUAAUGAAUUAAUGAAACAAAGACAUUUCAAGAGUUUGUAGAGCAAUUUGCCAAGAAAAGAAUUUUUAAAGUUGGCAGUAUUUCUACAUUUUCUAUUUUAGGUAUCUUCCUCUUCUUAUUUAAAGCUUCCUCCCCUGUGUCAAAUAGCAGUUGUCACACUCAAGUCUAGCAAACCACAGAAAUCUCCAAGAUCCUCUGAGAAGGCUGUGCGAUCACAACAUCUUUCAUGACUUCCUGUUCUCAUUGUAUGACAUUUGCACUGAUGCUGGUGAGAAGCUGGAGCACCUUGGCCUGUCGCAAGAGAUCAUGCAGUGGCACUAGAAGGUGCCACCAUUACGCCGCCCCUUCCCUGCAAUGUGAAGGAAAGAGAAGGAAGAAACUCAAACUUCACCCAAAACCUUCCUAAGGAAGUCAGUGUUAAUUUCAGACGUCUCAGCCUUUGAAGGCAGUGCUCUGAUCUGAAUGGCACAGUAAGGUGUCCAGAAGGUUCCUCUGCAACCUACUGAAGCUUCGUGACUGGUUUUCUCAAAGACACCUGUGUGAGAUGGACUCUGAAGGUGUACUUGGCAUUCCUCCAUGGAAUGCUGUUAGCAUCGGAAACAUCAACUGACAAGCUAUGGUUCUUCAGAGUUGGACAUUGAUUUACUUUUCCUAUUAUUUAUUUAUUUCCUUAUUUAUUUGAGACAGGGUCUCUCUUCUUUCUACUUAGCACUGGCUGUUCUGUAAGUCGCCAGAUAGAGCAGACUGAUUUUGAAAUCACAGAGCUCCACCCGCCUUUGCCUCCCUACUGCUGGAACUAAAGGAGCUGGUGACAUUUUUCUUAAAAGUGAACAAAGUGGGUUUUAAAAAGAAUUACCUUGUUGACAUUCGUCUUUUCAUGAUAAAAUCGCUGUGAUAUCUUAUCUGGAACAUAUCACUGGAUCAGUGAUUGACUAUACUUAACGGGGACAAUAUGCCAAAAUGAAUGUAGAAAUGAUACAAUCUAGGGGUCUUGAAAUGACACGGUCUAGGAGUCUUAUCAUGAUACCAUCUAGGGGUCUUGAUUGGGUUAAUUUUCCCCGCUGGUUAAACAAAUAAAAAGCAGGAAAUAUCUUAAGUACAACAGGUAGCAGCAGAGAAAAUGCAAGCAUCGGCAUUGCAGACAGUUGAAGAGAGGUAUUUAUCAAGGAUGAGGAAGUAAAGACAUGUGCAGACACAACAGAGAAAAAAGACCUCCGACCUGGGAGUGUCCAAAGCCCGGGAAAAGUAUUUCUACUUUCUGAUUGGUCAGUUUGAAGACAGACAGGAUGGCUGAUUGGUCCACAACUGUGGAAAGGGGGUGAACUUGUUGAGUCAGUCCAUCAGAAGAGGGCCUGCCAGUGGGAGGAAACAGCCUAGAGCUUUAGUUUAAGCCGGAAGAGGCUUUUAUUACAAGCGAGGAGAGUGAGGAAGAAGUCAGCCAUCUUGGAAAUAGGCCUCCUUUAUUAGCCCAUUGUGGGUGGUGCUUUCCUAGGAAUAGUGUCCCUGAACAUGCCACAGGGAGCAAUCCAGUAAGCAGCAUCCCUCCGUGGCCUCCUCAUCAGCUCCUGCCUCCAGGUUCCUGCCCUGUUUGAAUUCCUGCCCUAAUUUCCUCCAAUCAUGGAUCAUGAUCUACCCCCUUCCAGUCAUCUGAUGGAAAUCGCUACAUUCCCUUGCAUAUUUUAACCACACUGCAGUCAGAUCUUCUCAUCUUUGGGAUACAGUGAUGAUAGUGGACAGGUGGAAACCUCGUCCUCCAGGCCAUGAUAUUAAGAGAGCAAGCUGCCUUCAUCAAACUCUUUCCUUGCAGUGAGGAUGGACUGCAGGAGUCAGCAUGAAAUGAUUUCCGUACAAUUGAAGAGCUUCAGGAUAUAAGCAAGAAAUCAAAGAGCCAUAUGCAAGUGGAGAAUUUUAGCACUGACAUCUCUCUUUUUAAAGAUAUGCUAAUUGUAAUAAGGUCUUUUUUUUAAAUCAAAGGGUACUUAAAAUAGCUCCCAGCAAAUCUGAGGGUUUGCGAACAAUACUCUUGGUAUUCUAUCUGGUGAGUCAGCUCCUGGGUGACACUCUGCGCUGGGUGUCAUCAGGCGUGACUCUGGGGAUUAGUGCCAAGAGGGUUAAUGUGGUUCAAGUGCUAAGAAGACAGGUCCCCUAUUUUACAGAGUGCUGAAGCAUUUAUGUGGGGAUUUAGAAUACUUUCAGGUGUUCUAUGAAACUCACAAAGUUAUUUUUAAUUCUUCUUAAAGUAGUAGAGAUUCUUAACAAAAGUUUAUCUUAGAGAAGUAAAGAAAGAGCUGUUCACGUUAUAUAGUAUUGAGAACACUGAGAAAGACCACUUAUUCAUUAUUUAUAUGAUACUAACAGCUAACUUUAAAAGCCUUGAUUUUCUUCCAUCAAUAACAUUGUGCAUAAAAACCCAUAUUUUGCUGGUAAGGUUAAAUGAGAUAACAUAUAUGGGACACUUAACAGCAUGCCUUCGUUGCUAUUACAAAUGCCAUAAAGCACAUAGUCAAUAACUGUUCAAUAAAGCUUAGCAUACUCAAGCGAUCCAACUUUUGAGUCUAUGAGCCUUCUCCCUGCCUACAUUGAGCGUCCAUCACCAGGAGUAUGUUUACAUUCAGAGCACCUAGGGCAUGAUAAGAGCUCAAUAAAGUAUAAGAGUCUUUGUUAUUUCUACCAGAUGAACAUGCUAAUUCAUUCAUCAAAUAUUUUGAAAGCAUUUAGGCAUCUCAGUGAUUUGAGGGAAACUAAGGUAGAUUGUCAAAGUUUAGUUAUUUCGGAUAGGAGGAACAUGGCCUUGAAUCAAGGCAGCUGUGUUCACAAGACGUUCCCAAGGUCUAGCCUAUUAACUCCCCAGUAGUAGAGGUAGGGAGACUCAUGAACCAUAUAAGGCUCCCAGAGACAGAGCUCACAGACCCUCCUGGGAUCCACACAAGACCCUUCCCAUUUCUGAAGUUAUAUAAGAUUUAAACAGUUGACUAGGUUAGAAUGCUUUAGUACAAUAGCUAAUGGAAGGGUCCAAGAAUUACUGAAAACCCUAGACUCAAAUAAUAGGCAAAGACAAAGAAAGUUUAUUCUUCAGAAACAGACAGCAUGCAGGGGUCAACCUCGAGGGAAGCCCACAGGCCCCUUUUAAAACCACUUAGGGAUUCUAUAGUUGUGGUUGGGCUUGUGGUGAUAUUUGUACACUUCUGAUUGGUUCAUACCUCGAGGGAGAGAGGAUUACCUUAGAGGGACUUUUCCUAUAUCUGGUGUAAGCUCCUGGCCAGAUGUCAGGGCAGCUGUUGAUUGGUUGCCCUUUUUCUGCAGUUCUUCCAAGAAGCCUGAACUGUCCUUCUGGGAAAUUGAUGCUUAAGUCCUAACAUGGCUCUCUGUUCUAAAAUGAAGUGAGUUAGGUCCUCUUGCUAACUAAGUCACCUGGGGGAUUUUUUUUCAGUGGUCCUGAAGCAUUGUGUUCUAGGUAGGACUCUUUAGCAUAUGCAAGUUCCCCAGAAGACUUCCAAGAAUAUAGCUGCAUUCGAAUUCCCCGUGUUUCUAGGACCAACUCAUUUCUUCAUCAAGUUGGACUUGAAUAGAAUCCUGUCUUUGAUCUGGCAGUGUACUUUGUGUUUAGGAUGAAUAAGCAUUUCUUUAUGACUCUUUAGCCACACAACAAAGAUGUAGUCACUUAUUGAUGUAUAGAUUCAAUUGGUUUGAGGUGAGCUGAAAGUGAGCAGAGAGAUAGGCUAAGAGUUUGAAUUUCAAUAAGAGGUAGAUCAUGGUACUAGGACAGUCCAGGGGUGUUAAAAUUUAGAAAUAGACAACAAAUCAGGGAUUGUAGUUUUCAGAACUUAGAGAUAUUUAUCAGAUAUCCAAGUAGCAGGUCAUAGAGGCAGAGGCAGUUAACAUAUAAAAUAUUUACAUGAGUGUACAUAGAGCUUGACAAAUAAGUGAUGAAUAAAUACUGAAUGAAAAAAUGUAUAGAAAAAACAAGCAAGACCUGCCUUGAGAGCUUAGGGGCUUCAACUCUCAGAACUUGGAGAACCACAAGUGGUCAAGUAAAAGUCCCAGACAUCUUAUUUUGAACCUAUGGCUUUGUAAUUUCACAAUAUGCAUGUCUUAAGCGUGACCCUCAGCCAGUCUGAUCCUUUAAGUAGCAAGCUGCCUGCUUGUUUUCUAGGGCACAUCUCUCCUUUGACUUAAAGACAAGCACAGUUAUCUGAAAGGUGGCUCAGAAGCAAAUGUCAGCCACAUCCUGACUCUUGUCUUGUCUAGACAGCACCUACAUGUGGGGACCAUGAACAAGCACAGAGGGACGCUGAGAACGAGGAAGAGAAGUCAAUGCAUGGGGUUCAUGUCCACUGGUGUGAUCUGAAGCAUGGUUGUGGUUGCCACCAUCAAAGUGCUGUGUGAAGGAUGGAAAUGGGCAUUAGACAACAUAAUAUCACCAGGAGAGUGUAACUUAAAAUCUGUUGUGUGUCACGCACUGUCUUUAAAACUCUGGUGUGGGAGGGCCCCUUUGGUGGAGGAAAAGCAGCUGUAGACUGCAAUAGACCCCAUCAAAUUUCCCCUUGAGUUUGUGACUCCGCUUCAUCUUUGCUUGGUAAGAAUAUAUUUUUAAUGUAUUUAUUAUUUAUUUCUUUACUCACCAGCCUUGUAAUCAAAGCUGACUGCAACACCCAUCUUUGGGUAUAACCACAAAUGUUUAGAAGGUAGUAUGAUGGGGACAGCAUGUCUACUUGGUAAUAACAAGAGUAAUAGCUUCCCCCUGAGAACCAUGACCUGCCAAACAAUGAGACUUUGACCAAGUUCUCAGCACCAGGCAUGAAUCCCUCCUGUGAGUCAGGUCUCAAGUGUAAUCAGAAAGUAAUUGGUUGCUUGCCCAGUAGUCACGCUACUGUUGUAGAAAUGGGUACAUCUUGCCUGGCAGGUCAAUAACAUAGUAUACAGGUGUUGCGUGAAGUUUUAAGCUCUGGACCCAGCCAUGCUACCAGCCCCCACCCAGUGUACUAAUUGUUCUGUGCAUCUUUAACUCUAGGAGGUGAGCGCACUACCAGCAGUCCUCCCAGCUUCCCUUGAAUCCUCCAAUAAAAGACACACACAGUUUGUUCUUUUACAGUUUGCCUUCUUGGGACAACUGUUGGGCGUUACUAUCGCCCGCCUGGAAAAGUAUAUAUACCCUUGCCAAUUUAUUAUCUCUGUCUCUCCACCUGCCCUAAACUUCAGUGGCAAGUCCCACCUAGCCCCUAUAGUAGAGGACAGAUACCCCAGUUUCCCCCACAAAACCUCACAUAAUUGCUGAGUUCUUCCUCCACAGCAUGGCAGAAACCUUCCUCCCUCUCCUUCCUUGUGUCUACCAUUUCCUUUUGGGACCUGUAAGUGCUGACUGUACGUUCCACCCAGCAAUUGGCCCCAGGCUUUCUUUACUGACAAAUCAAGAACCAAUUGGGGAGCAGGACCUUAGCACUAGAACCACUCCCAUCAUACAGGAGUCAUAGUUCUGCAAGAUUUUUUUUUAUUACAUUUCUCCUCCAGAGCAGGCUGAAUAGCAACUUUCUGGACUAUGGAAGCAGGGGCUGGGGGGUUGGAGGUGAUGGUGGGCUACAGAUCAAUGGGAAGGAUCUGAAGUGAAGAUUAGAAAUUUCUGAUCAACCAGCCACUUCAGGUAGAGCCAGCAUUGCACAUUUUAUAGUGCUCCCAGGAUGAUUGCAAUGGAUAACCAGAUGGGGAGAGCCACGGAUAGAAAGUUCCAGAUAUAAACACUAGGUUGUGGCUACAUGGACCACAUCUCUCUAGUCUCCCCAUCUGGAUAACAUUAAAUAUCCAGUGACCAUCUGGUUAGAUCAUCCCCGGACUUAUACCAUUCUUUAGAUGGCUCAGAUCUCAAUGUCUAAUGUCAUUGCAGCCUCUGAUCCUAAUCAUCCUUCUGAUGUUGGUUUGCCUUGCCACCCUUUUCUUCCCCUUCAGUAACAGCUUUGGAAGAUACACCUUGAGAUGCCCCACUACAGGCGAAAGGAUCCUGCACCACUGGAUCGUGGAUGGAGUGGAGUUCCAGACACAUAUCAGCACUCCCCGGACAAGAAAUAAACAAAUGCAAAAGCGCUUGAUCCCCUAAAAGAAACAGCACACCGGGAAGAGAACCAACUCCAAUUAGAGGACAGCAGCUUCUGUCAGCCGGCCACCAGCAGCUGCAGCUCAAAGUUGGAAAAACGCUGAAAUUAUACAUCCAAGAAUAAUGUCUGGCACUUUAUCAUGUGUAACAAUAUACUAUGCGGCCCCCUUUUAAACUGUAGAGUAGUAGCUAAUGGGAAGAACUUGAAGUAUGAUUAAAACUCCAGGUGAUUACAGUGCGAUACAAUUCUGCAACUGUUUUAGUUAGGAUGAAGACCCACAGGAGAGUUUCUAUAUGUACUCGCCACAGUGGGCACCCCAGGGUGUUGAUAUUGGGGCAACUCUGAAUGAAAGGGCAUGUACUGUUUUGUUAAUCAUCUGGGGGGAACGUUGUUUUAAAAAUUCAUCUUUAGGAGAAAAGAAUCAACACGGAGAUCUAUUACCUGGGAGGUUUCUGACACUCUUCUAGACACAAUGUCUACUAUUGUGCUUGUGUUCCGUACCUAGCCACCAGUUCCUCAAUUAAACAAAAUCAGCCUUGAGCUUAUCUGAGCUUGUCUUAUCUGAGUCCUUGUGAGGUCUUAAGAUAUUAUCCUUGAUUCUUAGACAGCAGGCUGAACAUUCUCAGUCUGCUGCUCAUAACUGUGUUAGAGAACAGAAAAGACUCCGGUUUAGGGACAUAGCCGUGCAGGAAGCAAGUUGUAGCAGACAAUGGAAACUAUCUUGUAAUCUCAGCUGUGAAAAGAACUCGAGUAAUUAAGAAAACGUUUUGUUCCCCAAGGUCUGGCUCCCCUGUUUGUUCGCUGGAAUGACUUGGCGUUUCUGGAGUUCACAACAGGCCAGAGACUGGUUCGUUAGCACUAAUCUGAUUAAGACUUGUGUUUCUUUGUUCUGUGUGUCCUCAGGUGGCAAUUUUGGCUGAACAUCUCACAUUUUUGCCUUGUGCCUAGGUACAGAAACAUAGCUUCGCCUGUGCGUUACGUAAGAAGGUCACAGAUCUCAGGCCUCGGUCUGCAGUGCUGAGCGCUUUUCUUUCCAAACUACCUUCACAUGUGAAUUUUACUGACCCUCAGGCCAUAGCACUGCAGAGCACUUAGGUACAAGCAGAGGCCGGCAUUGUCCCAGAGAAACUGACAGGGGGACAAACCAUUCCUUUUAAACUCCAUAGAAAAGUUUUCCCAAGUGUAUGUACAAAAUUAGUGUAUAAAUUUAAAUACUGCAAAUUGAAAUAAUGUAUUAAGAUAUGUGUAUACAGUUAAAUAGCUAGAAAUAAAUUUAUGAAAACUUUCUCUAAA
rnacentral:sRNA from 1 species